UACGGGGGAGCAAGCGUUGUUCGGAUUUACUGGGCGUAAAGGGCGCGUAGGCGGCCACCGCAAGUCAAUUGUGAAAUCUUCCGGGCUCAACCCGGAAAGGUCAACUGAUACUGCGGGGCUAGAGUGCAGAAGGGGCAACUGGAAUUCUCGGGUGUAGCGGUGAAAUGCGUAGAUAUCGAGAGGAACACCUGCGGCGAAGGCGGGUGCUGGGCUGACACUGACGCUGACAGCGCGAAAGCUAGGGGAGCGAACGGG
rnacentral:rRNA from 1 species